UACAAAUCUCAUAAAAUUUAAUAUACCAUUUUAUAAAUCAUUGAAGUUUUAGAUUGUUAAUGGUCUUUGGUUGAUUCAUACAAAACUUGUGAAUAGACUAUAUGUAUGUUGGUCGUGUAUAAUUCAUUUGACCUUGUAAAGUGUAAUAAGCAAUAAUAAAAGCCAAGCUAGAACCUUGAAGGUUGUUUCAAUUAAAUAUAGAACAUCAUUUUUGGACUUAUAAAAAGGUCCUAAAUUCACAUUAUAGAUUGAAAUUAUGACGAAAACUUUCCCUGAUGUUCUACUAAUAUUUUCUACAUAUAGUUUGAAUUUCUAUGGAUAUUGUAACUAGGACGAGUGAUGUAGAGAGAAUGAAAUGAAGCAAUCCAAGUUCAAGAGGAUUUGUGUCUUCUGUGGGACUAGCCACGGCAAGAAGAGGAGCUACCAAGCAAUCCACAUUUACUUUUCUCCCUCUACUUCGUUACCUUGGACUAGCCGGGGCAAGAAGAGCAGCUGCCAAGCAAUCCACAUUUGUGUCUUCUGAAGAAGAAUUAUUUUUAGUGGUUUCUCUCAUCUUAAUGACUAAAUUCAAAUAACGGGGAAAACAAAUGGUAUAUUGGCUUGGGGUGACGCUUAUCAGUGUUGGCUUAAAAUCUCAGUGAAUCAAGGAACCCCUUGUAGAAUAUGCAGUGCAAUAUGCUGUAGCAGCAGCCCUUGCGACAUUGGAUAAGAAUAAGAAGGAUUUGUUACACAAACUACUUUUACAAGGUCUUGACAUUACAAUCUUAGGUUGCAAUGACUUCUAUUCAUAUCGGAAUCAGGUGGGGUUUAUGAUGUGAGAUUGGAAAAGGGAAAGUUGGCUGUGGUUUUGAUGUUAGUUCUGCAGUUUACAGUGUCAACAAUAUGUUCGCUUUUCACCAGAAGUGCUUUCUUCUGCUUAGGUUUCUCUUUCUCUCCCUCUCUCUUUCUCUCUCUAUAUGUACAAUUAUAUUUUGUCCUUGUAAAGUAUUAUUGAAUUCUUACCUUGGCCCUUAAAGUUUAUUUUUUCCAAUUUGGUUUCUAAACUAUAUGAUCAUUCCCAAUUUGGCUCAAUUCCCAACUGCUGUCCAAAUUAUUGACAUAAGUUGGCACGUGGCACUCUUUGGUCCCUCAUGGCAUAUUAAAUAACCAUUCAUUUUUGCAAAUGUAUGAUAGCAUUGGUGUUACACUUUGGCAUUUCAACUCAUCAAUGAUCAUUGAUCAAAACAUAGCAUGAAAACAUUCAACUUUGUCAGAUAUCAAGAGCUUGUGGCAGAGUUUAUGAUGGGAAUGAGCUGAGAACAUGAAAAACAAAAGAAGGUUAGGAAGUUAUAUAAGACUGUUUUUGAUAGUGCCCUUUUGGGGACAAUAUUGUAACGAGGGCUACUUAAUUAGGUGUAU